UCAUCGGGACCCCCGACGUUAGGAAGA
rnacentral:sRNA from 1 species